rnacentral:rRNA from 1 species
UGGGGAAUUUUGGACAAUGGGCGCAAGCCUGAUCCAGCCAUGCCGCGUGAGUGAUGAAGGCCUUCGGGUUGUAAAGCUCUUUUGGCGGGGACGAUGAUGACGGUACCCGCAGAAUAAGCCCCGGCUAACUUCGUGCCAGCAGCCGCGGUAAGACGAAGGGGGCAAGCGUUGUUCGGAAUUACUGGGCGUAAAGGGCGCGUAGGCGGUUUGCUUAGUCAGGCGUGAAAGCCCUGGGCUUAACCUGGGAUGUGCGCUUGAUACUGGCAGGCUUGAGUGUGGGAGAGGUUGGUGGAAUUCCCAGUGUAGAGGUGAAAUUCGUAGAUAUUGGGAAGAACACCGGUGGCGAAGGCGGCCAACUGGACCACAACUGACGCUGAGGCGCGAAAGCGUGGGGAGCAAACA